rnacentral:rRNA from 1 species
UACAGAGGUCUCAAGCGUUGUUCGGAUUCAUUGGGCGUAAAGGGUGCGUAGGUGGCGCCGUAAGUCAGGUGUGAAAUUUCGGAGCUUAACUCCGAAACUGCAUUGACUAACUGCGUGGCUUGGAGGACUGGAGAGGAGACUGGGAAUUUACGGUGUAGCAGUGGAAAUGCGUAGAGAUCGUAAGGAAGACCAGUGCGAAGGCGGGUCUCGUGGACAGUUCCUGACACUGAGCACGAAGGCCAGGGGAGCAAACGGG